UCGGACAUGGUGUAUGGUGCACCGCCCUCAAUAUUAGCCAGUGGCCACUCUAAAUUUCUAGGGCUGGACGGGGUUCGAUUCCCUGUGUCCGAA